UUAAAAAUAAUAUAAGUUUUAAUCAGUUAAAAGUCGUGAAAUCACGUUGUGAAACCUUGCAUAAUUAGUCUAUAAUUAUCAAAUAUCUCAUUUUUUUUACUGAUUUUAUCAUUGUGCAUGUUAUAUGAAAUAAGUGAUAGUGAAGGGUAAAACCAAAAGGAUAAGACAUAGUGAAAAUCACUAGCUAGUCCCGAAGAUCUGGUUGAAAAAAUACACCACAACCAGUCAUGGGAAAAACUUCAUUGAGUACAAGGAAUUUACGAUUGUUUCAUGUAAGAUACAGUCAUAUCACACCACUCCACAUCGAUUACCAUAAUUGUACAACUUUACAAUCUAUAUUACAACCCAAUCAAUUGUGUAGUUUGUUUGUACUGUAUUAUUAUACUACUAUUUGUUUUAUAACCGUGGUAAUUUUUAGAAAACCUUAUCUUAGAUUUAAAGCUAAGAAUACUAUCUAUAGUAAUGAGGAAGAAUUA
rnacentral:lncRNA from 1 species